CGGGGCUGGAGGAGGAGGAGGAGCCCGAGGAACCGCAAGGCGCAGCCGCGAGUCUCGGAGGAGGAGCUGGAGGGAGGCGGAGCUGCGGAAGGAGGGGCGAGAAGAAAAGGAACGCGCAGCCGCGGAAUCCGGAGGCGGAGCUGGAGGGCCCCGGGCGGAGGAAGGAGGGGCUGCGGGGUGGGAAGAACGCGAAAGCGCAGCCGCGGGCUCCGGAGGAGGAGCUGGAGGGGGCAGAGCUCCGGGAGGAGGGGCGAGAAGAAAAGGAACGCGCAGCCGCGGAAUCCGGAGGCGGAGCUGGAGGGCCCCGGGCGGAGGAAGGAGGGGCUGCGGGGUGGGAAGAACGGAAAAGCGCAGUUGCGGGGCUCGGAGGAGGAGCCGAGGAGGGCGGAGGAGCGGGAAAGCACAGCCGCGGUUCCGGUGGAUGUGGCAACCCUCCAGCCAGAUCGCAGCAACUCAGAGGACUCAGGUGGCCCCCAGCAGCAGCAGCAGCCCUCAACCUCUUUGGAGGCGCCACUUUUCCCUCCCUCACUGCAGACAGGAGCCAAAAGGUUUUCUCAAGAGGCAAAUACAGGCAUAGGAGAAGGCGAUGUGUUACAUGGUGAUGGAGGACGCGCAGUGUUAAUGAUGCUGGUCACAGUUUAACAUUCCUCAAUGAAAACGCAUUAAACAGGGCUGAGCAAUGGAAGAAAUGGCCCCUAAGAGAAUGCCAAGACACCCCGAUGCAUCCAUUCUACCGUGUAUGUUUCACUGGGAGUAUGACAAAUAAUUUACAACUGAUUAUAAAAUGCUAAUGUUUAUAAAUUAUUCUAAAAUAUAAGUUAAAAUGGAUACAAGUUCUUUUUCUGACUUUUAUUUCUCUGUCCUAUCCUUUUCCCUUCUAUUAUUUAAAGAACAGUUUUUAAAUAGAGAGGCGAGGAUAAUGAACACUCAUAAGCCCAUCACCUAGAUUUAGCAGCUUGUCACAAUUUUGCUAGAUUUGCUUCAUCUAUUAUUUUCGGAAGUAUUCUAAAUUAUAGGCAUAGUAUAUUCACCUCAAAAUUAUUUAGUCUGCAUCUGUAAAAGUUAUAUAUAAUAUACAAAAAAAUUAACUCAAAGUGGAUCAAAGACCUAAAUAUAAGAGCUGAAACUCUAAAAUUCUCAAGAGAAAACAUAGGUAUAAAUCUUCACGACUUUGGAUUAGGCAAUAAUUUCUUCAGUUUUUUAUUUUUUAUUUUUUGUCUUUUUUUUAGGGCCACACCCACAGCAUAUGGAAGUUCCCAGGCUAGGGGUCAAAUCGAAGCUGCAGCUGCUGACCUACACCACAGCCACAGCAACGCUGGAUCCUUAACCCCCUGAGCAUGGCCAGAGAUCAAACUUGCGUCCUCACAGAUCCUAGCCAGGUUUGUUACCACUGAGCCAUGAUGGGAACUCCAGUAAUUUCUUUAUUAUGACACCAAAAGCGCAAGCAAUAGCAACAAUAAAAAUAGAUAAGCUGGAUAUCA
rnacentral:lncRNA from 1 species